rnacentral:lncRNA from 10 species
GGUGGAACGGGGAUCCCAGCUCAAGACUGACUUGAUUCAUCAGGCUUUAUAUGGCUUUGAUAUUGGCCUAAGAUACAUGAGCCCCUCAUGCCCACAGAAGGUUGUUUUCGUUGAAAGAGCUGGGUGUGCCUUUGAUGUGGCUUGGGGUCACACCUUUGGCCAUGAACAUAAUGUGUCUCCUUCUACUUCCCAUUGCUCAUCACUGAUGGAUGACAGGACAGGAGCCCAGAGACACUCAGCUUCAUGCUACCUUUCUCCAAGGCUGUGCUCUGUCUGGAUCCCUGAAAUUUAUGGUGAAGGAUGUUGACCUGAUGAAACAGAUCUGUGGUCAUGGGUUUGAGAAGUGGCUUUCAACAAGGGGUGAUUUUGCCCUCCAUGGAUCAUCUGGCAAUGUCUGGGCACAUGUUUUAGUUUCCAUGAUUGGAGGAUGCUACUGGCGUCUGGUAGGUAGAGGCCAGGAAACACUAGGGGGAAAAAAACAGAUAAAUAAGGCUAAAGAGAAAGGAUGUCACCAGAGUGUGUCUGGUUCCCAUAUAUCCAGAAAACAUCCCUCAUCUGCCAGGAGAUAGUUGGUUUCUAGGGGAAUGGCAGGAAGCUGAAUCCUUGUUAAUAGAGUCCAACAGAAGAAAAGGCAAUGAAUAGAUGCAAAGACGGGAGAAAGCGAACCAGAGGGAGCAGCUGUGCAUCCAAGUGCUGGGAUUGUUCCCAGAUCCCUUGUCCCCAGAGAUAGCAUUUGAACUUUCACCCUUCACCUGCCAACCAGAUGUGGUCUGCCAGACAAGCACAUGCCAUCCAUACAGCAAGUCCUCAGUAAAUAUCUCACACUCUUUUAGAGUAUUAAAUCUUGAAAGACUUUGAAGAUUGUUCCAUCUAGCUCCCUCCUGUAAAUAAAAUGUCUUGCAUUUUACCUCUGUAAAGAGGGCUCUUUACACAUCAGAUCUUAUUUUAAGUGAUUUAACACUCUUCACAACCCUGGGAGGUAGUUGUUGUCCUGGAGUGGGGACAGGGGUUGCCACAGAGUGAAAGGACAGAAGUUGAACUGGAUUAAGUUACAAAAGAAUUGUGAAAAACUG